rnacentral:lncRNA from 1 species
CCCAAGUGUCUCCCCCACUUCCACCUGUGACUGCUCUCCAUAUUCCUAAAUCCCACAAGCCCAAAGCCACCUCCUCCAGGACACUGAAGAGAGGACUUCAGUCGACCAGGAUCUCCAUGCUCUGUUUUCCCAUCUACUAAAUCAAAAGCCAUGGCAGAGACUGGCUCUGGGGACCAGGAACAGAAGGCUGAUCCUGAAUACUGGCUUGGAAGCUCACCUCUGGAUCUUGGAUGACCUCCAAGAUGUCACCUAGAGCCUUGGGUCUUGGACUCUGGUCACCUUGGGCACACCUUGGGGCUGACGCCCCAUGGCUUCUACUUGAAGGACCCCUUGGAUCCUAUCUGAAUUUACUCAGUUUGGGGACCAAAGUCUGCUGUAUGAAUGAGCCCAGCUCUCCCCAAGGCCAUGGUGCUCACCAGAGCAGGUGAUAAGUAUGAUGCUUGUAUAAUACAUUUGGAUGUUUUCCACUAAGUUCACUUCCUAACUAUGGAGUUCUUCCAAAUGUUGGCUGACAUUUGCCCUAGCACCAAGGCUCAUCUGCAAGUGAGUGUCUGCACACACUGGGUGUGCUUAUGUAUGAAAUAAAAAUAGCACUAGGU